rnacentral:rRNA from 1 species
UACAGAGGGUGCAAACGUUGUUCGGAAUCACUGGGCAUAAAGCGUACGUAGGCGGCGUCGUAAGUGUCGGAUGAAAUCCCACGGCUUACCCGUGGAACGGUCCGGCAUACUGCGGUGCUAGAGGAUGGUAGAGGAGAGCGGAACUCUUGGUGGAGCGGUGAAAUUCGUAGAUAUUCGGAAGAACACCAGUGGCGAAGGCGACUCACUGGACACGUAUUGACGCUGAGGUGCGAAAGCGUGGGGAGCAAACAGG